GAGCUAGCUACCGCCUCUUAAAGGGCCAUCAACCCAUUUCACUAAACACCCAGACCUUGGAAGAAUUGGUAGGAACUGUGGCUUCUGCGGCUCAGCCCAAGCCUGAGGGAGAAAGACUGACAGAGAACGAUAUCAAUAUAGAAGAAAGUAGAGCUGAAUGAUGAAGAUGCCUCUGGAUCCCUGGAUCCAUUCAUGCCUGAAUCACCAUGACAUAAUCCUACACUUCUCAAUUUCAUGACCUGAUAAAUUUCCCUUUUGGUUUAAGCCCC